CAGCAAUGUUUGAGAAUCCAUGCUCUGCUAGGCCUUGCCCAUCAUGGUGAUGUCCACGCUCAGAGUCCUGCUACCCUCAGGCUUGGACUUGAGUGAAGGAGAUAGGGUGGCACACAGUGAUAAUGGCAUGUGGUAUUAAUUUGUGCUUUUCCAGGAAACAUUCCGAAUUUGAAGACUUCAAACUGAUCUUAAGGGGCUUGUUUAAGUGCAAAUAAAUCUGUGUAUUGUGAUGACAUUAAUCCUUUCAUUACCAUAAAAUUCUAUUUUAAAGUAUAUUAUUU
rnacentral:lncRNA from 1 species